CGCCUCUUGCAAAAUUAAUAAAUAAGAGGUCUCGCCUGCCCUGUGACUAUAUGUUUAACGGCCGCGGUAUUUUGACCGUGCAAAGGUAGCGUAAUCACUUGUCUUUUAAAUGAAGACCUGUAUGAAUGGCAUAACGAGGGCUUAACUGUCUCUUCUUUCAAGUCAAUGAAAUUGAUCUCCCCGUGCAGAAGCGGGGAUACACACAUAAGACGAGAAGACCCUGUGGAGCUUUAGACACCAACGCAGAUUAUUGUUAGAUACCCCAAGCUAAAGGAUUGAACCAAUUAUAAACCCUGCCCUAAUGUCUUCGGUUGGGGCGACCGCGGGGAAAUAAAUAACCCCCACGUGGAAUGGGAGAACCUACCUCCUACAAUUAAGAGCCCCCGCUCUAAUGAACAGAACUUCUGACCAAUAAGAUCCGGCAAUGCCGAUUAACGGACCAAGUUACCCCAGGGAUAACAGCGCAAUCCUCUUUUAGAGCCCAUAUCGACAAGAGGGUUUACGACCUCGAUGUUGGAUCAGGACAUCCUAAUGGUGCAGCCGCUAUUAAGGGUUCGUUUGUUCAACGAUUAAAGUCCU
rnacentral:rRNA from 1 species